CAGACUAUACUGAAGGAAUGACCGUUUUCUACAGCGUCCACCUCUCUGCUCCAGGACUUUUGAGGAGCAGGCACGUGCGUCAUCCACCCUCCUCCUCCUCCGGAGAAAAAAAUGACACUAUGAGUGGCAAGUGAAGGGAUGAUGAUGAUGAUGAUGAUAAGGCACAGGACAGACACAGGAAGCAGUUUCAGUCCUUUCUUCCUCUGAAGGAUGUUCAGUGAAUGUAGCAUGUAAGGUGCAGGAGUACGCUAUGCAAACGCCCCUCCCAGACAACCAGCAAACAGCCACUCCAUAGACUUCAAGGUCAUUCUGUUCUCAUUUUUAAACUCAAAACAUCUUCCUUCAGACUGGUUGUUCCCAGAAUAUAUCUAAUUGUCUUUUAAGUCUGUAUAUCUGGCCAAACAGACCGUAACAGAAAGGAUGUUGGUUGGAGAGAAAGAGUGAAGAAGAAAAAGCAUUUCCAGUGGUUUUCCAGUUGGGGAUUCAUUUGUAAGUGCUUUUUGGGGGGUUGAGGGAACUUGUAUUUUUGCAAUAAAGUUAUUACCAAUGCACUCCAGCAUAUGUAC
ensembl:lncRNA